UGGGGAAUAUUGCACAAUGGGCGAAAGCCUGAUGCAGCAACGCCGCGUGAGCGAAGAAGGUCUUCGGAUCGUAAAGCUCUGUCCUUGGGGAAGAUAAUGACGGUACCCUUGGAGGAAGCCCCGGCUAACUACGUGCCAGCAGCCGCGGUAAUACGUAGGGAGCGAGCGUUGUCCGGAAUUACUGGGUGUAAAGGGAGCGUAGGCGGGGCUUUAAGUCAGGUGUGAAAUGUAUGGGCUCAACCCGUAAACUGCACUUGAAACUGGGGCUCUUGAGUGAAGUAGAGGCAGGCGGAAUUCCUAGUGUAGCGGUGAAAUGCGUAGAUAUUAGGAGGAACAUCAGUGGCGAAGGCGGCCUGCUGGGCUUUUACUGACGCUGAGGCUCGAAAGCGUGGGGGAGCAAACA
rnacentral:rRNA from 1 species